rnacentral:misc_RNA from 1 species
UCACCCCCUUAUCCCAUCGCCGUCCAUGGCCUCCUCCUUCGUCGCCGCCGCGGCCACCAAAUCCGUCCUCCUCUCCUCUCCGUCGUGGUAUCCGUUACCGCCGAUCACCGCCGCUCCUCUCCCCCGCCGUAGCCUCUCCGUUUCGCGGAGCAACGCCCUUAGGGUUUCGGCGGCCGCCGUGAAAUGCGACCCCUCUAAGGUCAUUCCUCAAGCCGAUAGAGUGCUGAUUCGUCUGGAGGCGCUGCCCGAGAAAUCUUCAGGUGGAGUCUUGUUGCCAAAGUCAGCUGUUAAAUUUGAACGCUAUCUAAUGGGCGAGAUUUUGUCAGUUGGUGCUGAUGUUGCUGAAGUAGAAGCUGGAAAGAAGGUUCUGUUCUCGGAUAUCAAUGCAUAUGAGGUGGAUCUGGAUUCAGAUGUUAAGCAUUGCUUCUGUCGGGCUAGCGAUCUAUUGGCUGUGGUGGAAUAGUCAUAUUCGGUGGCGUUGAUCUAAAACUAUUUUUCCAUCGUCCUUAAUUGAGAAUGUUAGCUGUGUGCUAGAUUUUACCGAUGAAUUAUUACUGUACUAGAAAGUUUUAGAAGCUGAGGCUGUUUUCUAGUUACGUAUUUUGUUCUUGAACUACUACUCGUGAACUAUUUUGUGUCAAAAUAACAGGCCAUGAAAUAUUUUAAAG